rnacentral:rRNA from 1 species
GAUGAACGCUGGCGGCGUGCCUAAUACAUGCAAGUCGAGCGAAUGGAUUAAGAGCUUGCUCUUAUGAAGUUAGCGGCGGACGGGUGAGUAACACGUGGGUAACCUGCCCAUAAGACUGGGAUAACUCCGGGAAACCGGGGCUAAUACCGGAUAACAUUUUGAACCGCAUGGUUCGAAAUUGAAAGGCGGCUUCGGCUGUCACUUAUGGAUGGACCCGCGUCGCAUUAGCUAGUUGGUGAGGUAACGGCUCACCAAGGCAACGAUGCGUAGCCGACCUGAGAGGGUGAUCGGCCACGCUGGGACUGAGAACCGGCCCAGGCUCCUACGGGAGGCAGCAGUAGGGAAUCGUCCGCAAUGGGCGAAAGUCUGACGGAGCAACGCCGCGUGAGUGAUGGAGGCUUUCGGGUCGUAAAACUCUGUUGUUAGGGAAGAACAAGUGCUAGUUGAAUAAGCUGGCACCUUGACGGUACCUAACCAGAAAGCCACGGCUAACUAUGUGCCAGCCGCCGCGGUAA